rnacentral:rRNA from 1 species
AUUGAACGCUGGCGGCAGGCCUAACACAUGCAAGUCGAGCGGAUGAAGGGAGCUUGCUCCUGGAUUCAGCGGCGGACGGGUGAGUAAUGCCUAGGAAUCUGCCUGGUAGUGGGGGAUAACGUCCGGAAACGGGCGCUAAUACCGCAUACGUUCUGAGGGAGAAAGUGGGGGAUCUUCGGACCUCACGCUAUCAGAUGAGCCUAGGUCGGAUUAGCUAGUUGGUGGGGUAAAGGCCUACCAAGGCGACGAUCCGUAACUGGUCUGAGAGGAUGACCAGUCACACUGGAACUGAGACACGGUCCAGACUCCUACGGGAGGCAGCGGUGGGGAAUAUUGGACAAUGGGCGAAAGCCUGAUCCAGCCAUGCCGCGUGUGUGAAGAAGGUCUUCGGAUUGUAAAGCACUUUAAGUUGGGAGGAAGGGCAGUAAGUUAAUACCUUGCUGUUUUGACGUUACCAACAGAAUAAGCACCGGCUAACUUCGUG